AAUUUUGUUGCAUAUAUCGUGAGAGAGUGAGUCUUGGUAGAAAAACAACAUACUUGGAGAAAUUGAAGAAAAGCCUCAUUUCAUUACCUUUGUAACUUUGUUGUUCUCCUUCUCUUGUUCUCAAGCAAGGUCCAUCAUAUCAAUGUGCCUAUGCUAUGCCCUUGUUGUUCAAAUUUCUCUCUCUAAGAUGUCUCAAUCGAUCUCUUUCACUUAGAGGCCCUCUCUCCAACAGAUAUCAUUGUCUCAGCAGUUUCCAUCGAAUCGUAUAUACUUUUCAAGCUCAAAAUUGAUCCUUGUCCCACCAUACCUAGAGCUUUGAUAGUGAUAUGGGAAAAAUGUGAGGGUGAAAUGUGCAGGUCUCAAUUAUUUCAACUUUGAAUAAAGCUGACAGUUCCUUUCUUCUUUGUUUUUCCCUCAAUUUGUUUGAUUUUGACAGAAGAAUCCUUCUCUGAUCUCUUUCUCUAUCAUGUGCCACCAUUUUAUUUACCCGCUGUGUAGGAAAUUAUGGAUAUGUUUUGUACAUGGUGUCGCGCCAAGUUUAUUUAAUUUUUAUGCAAAAUUACGGUUUUUGUACGUCUAGAUCUAAAUUAUCUACAGCAUUUUAUCGGUUUUACUUUCAUCAAACAAUUUUCUUUUGAGGAUGUAAAUUAACUCCUAGAAUGAUUAAUUUUGAUGAGAAUAUUACCUCCGAUCUUUUUUAUAAAAAAAUAAGUGAUAAUAUAAAUAUAUAUAUAUAUAUAUAUAUAUAUUUAUAUUGUAUCUUGUUUUUUAUAAAAAAAAUAUCCACGGGAGUUAUUCUUGAUUAUUUUUUUUUUUACAGUUUACUGUCUUCCAAUAUAAUUAACCUUGAGUGGUGUUUUACUUAUCUGUGAAUAAUUUAUUUUGUAGAUGAAUUAACAACCUAGGAUACAUAUAUUCUGCAUCCAAUAUUCCAUGUCAAAUCUGGCCAUAUGUCCUUCAACUUGAG
rnacentral:lncRNA from 1 species